UACGGAGGGGGCGAGCGUUAUUCGGAAUCACUGGGCUUAAAGCGCGUGUAGGCGGGGUGGCACGUCGGUCGCUGAAAGCCCCCGGCUCAACCGGGGAAGUGGCGCCGAUACGACCACCCUGGAGGGACGUAGGGGGACCUGGAACUUCCGGUGGAGCGGUGAAAUGCGUUGAGAUCGGAAGGAACGCCCGUGGCGAAAGCGAGGUCCUGGACGUUUUCUGACGCUGAGACGCGAAAGCCAGGGGAGCGAACGGG
rnacentral:rRNA from 1 species